GAUCCGGGCUCAGGAUGAACGCUGGCGGCGUGCUUAACACAUGCAAGUCGAACGAAGCACUUUAACCUGAUUCUUCGGAUGAAGGUUUUUGUGACUGAGUGGCGGACGGGUGAGUAACGCGUGGGUAACCUGCCUCAUACAGGGGGAUAACAGUUAGAAAUGACUGCUAAUACCGCAUAAGACCACGGAGCCGCAUGGCUCAGUGGGAAAAACUCCGGUGGUAUGAGAUGGACCCGCGUCUGAUUAGG
rnacentral:rRNA from 1 species